GGCGCCUCAAGUGGUAGUCGAUUUUAUUGGGCCUAAAACGUCCGUAGCCUGUUUGGUACAUUCGUGGGUAAAUCAACCAGCUCAACUGGUUGAAUUCUGCGAGCACGGCCAGACUUGGGACCGGGAGAGGUGUGGGGUACGCUCAGGGUAGGGGUAAAAUCCUGUCAUCCUGAGCGGACCACCUGUUGCGAAGGCGCCACACUAGAACGGAUCCGACGGUCAGGGACGAAGCCUAGGGGCACGAACCGGAUUAGAUACCCGGGUAGUCCUAGGUGUAAACGCUGUGGACUUGGUGUUGGGGAUUCUCCGAGGAUCUUCAGUGCCGAAGCGAAGGUGAUAAGUCCACUGCCUGGGGAGUACGGUCGCAAGGCUGAAACUUAAAGGAAUUGGCGGGGGAGCACCGCAACCUGAGGAUUGUGCGGUUUAAUUGGACUCAACGCCGGGA
rnacentral:rRNA from 1 species